UCCCUUGUGGCUCAGAUGGUAAAGCGUCUGCCUGCAAUGCAGGAGACCCGGGUUCAAUUCCUGGGUUGGGAA
rnacentral:tRNA from 1 species